rnacentral:rRNA from 1 species
UAGAGGAGAGUACCGUGAGGGAAAGGUGAAAAGAACCCUGAGCAAGGGAGUGAAAAAGAAUUUGAAACCGUGUGCUUACAAGCGGUAGGAGCGCGAAAGCGUGACUGCGUGGAUUUUGGUUAAUCAUCCUGCGAGUUAUGAUGUGUGGCGAGGUUAAGUAAAAGCGGAGCCGAAGGGAAACCGAGUCUUAAUAGGGCGACGAGUCGCAUGUCAUAGACGCGAAACCUAGUGAUCUAGGCCUGUCCAGGCUGAAGCUGAGGUAAGACUCAGUGGAGGGCCGAACUCACCGCCGUUGAAAAGUUGGGAGAUGAGGCAGGUUUAGGGGUGAAAAGCCAAUCGAACUAGGAGAUAGCUCGUUCUCUCCGAAAUGCAUUUAGGUGCAGCCUUAGUUGAAGAUAUGCGGGGGUAGAGCACUGUAUGGCCUAGGGGGCGUAUAGCUUACCGAAGUCAAGCAAACUUCGAAUACCGUAUAUUGUUAACUGGGAGUGAGUCUAUGGAUGACAAGGUCCGUGGACGAGAGGGGAACAGCCCAGACCGCCGGCUAAGGUCCCAAAUCAUGUCUAAGUGGGAAAGGAGGUGGAUAUUCACAGACAACCAGGAGGUUGGCUUAGAAGCAGCCAUACCUUGAAAGAGUGCGUAAUAGCUCACUGGUCGAGAGUAUCUGCGCCGAAGAUAUAACGGGGCUAAGACAUGAACCGAAGCCGCGGAAUUAGUUUAUGCUAAUUGGUAGGAGAGCGUUCUGUAGGCCGUAGAAGGGGUGUUGUAAGACAUUCUGGAGGUAUCAGAAGUGAGAAUGCAGGAAUGAGUAGCGAGAAGGAGGGCGAGAAUCCCUCCGGCCGGAAGUCCAAGGUUUCCAGGGGAAGGUUUGUCCGCCCUGGGGGAGUCGGGACCUAAGCAUAAGCAGAGCUGCGAAGGCGAAUGGAAAACAGGUUAAUAUUCCUGUACCGCUGUGUACUGUCUGAGAGAUGGAGUGACGCAGGAAGGUAUGCGGGAAGGCUGACGGAAUAGCCUUUCUAAGGGUGAAGCGUGGACAUGCAGGCAAAUCCGCAUGUUUAUACGUGAGGCCUGAUGGGGAAGUGCCAUAUGGCAUAAGCCGCAGAUCCUACACUGCCGGGAAAAACUUCUAUUGAGGGAAACAGCGCCCGUACUGUAAACCGACACAGGUGGACAGAGUGAGAAACUUAAGGCCGACAGGACAACUCUGGCUAAGGAACUCUGCAAAAUGGCCCCGUAACUUAGGGAGAAGGGGUACCCGUGAUACCUGAAGGGAGAGACACCUGAAGGGGAGACGGGUCGCAGUGAAGAGUCCCAAGCAACUGUUUACCAAAAACACAGGUCUAUGCUAAGCUGGAAGGCGACGUAUAUGGGCUGACACCUGCCCAGUGCCGGAAGGUUAAGAGGAGGAUUGAGAGAUCCGAAUUGAAGCCCCGGUGAACGGCGGCCGUAACUAUAACGGUCCUAAGGUAGCGAAAUUCCUUGUCGGGUAAG